rnacentral:rRNA from 1 species
AGAGUUUGAUCAUGGCUCAGGACGAACGCUGGCGGCGUGCUUAACACAUGCAAGUCGAGCGGGGUCCAUCCGGUGGUAACACCGGUGAAGACCUAGCGGCGAACGGGUGAGUAACACGUGAGCAACCUGCCCCGAAGUCUGGGAUAACACCGGGAAACCGGUGCUAAUACCGGAUGUCCCCACCGAGUCACAUGGCUUGGUGAGGAAAGAUUUAUCGCUUCGGGAGGGGCUCGCGGCCUAUCAGCUUGUUGGCGGGGUAACGGCCCACCAAGGCUUCGACGGGUAGCUGGUCUGAGAGGACGACCAGCCACACUGGGACUGAGACACGGCCCAGACUCCUACGGGAGGCAGCAGUGGGGAAUCUUGCGCAAUGGGCGAAAGCCUGACGCAGCAACGCCGCGUGGGGGAUGAAUGCCUUCGGGUUGUAAACCCCUUUCAGCAGGAACGAAAUUGACGGUACCUGCAGAAGAAGCCCCGGCCAACUACGUGCCAGCAGCCGCGGUAAUACGUAGGGGGCGAGCGUUGUCCGGAUUUAUUGGGCGUAAAGAGCUCGUAGGCGGCUUGGCAAGUCGGGUGUGAAAACUUCAGGCUCAACCUGGAGAUGGCACUCGAUACUGCUAUGGCUAGAGUCCGGUAGGGGACCACGGAAUUCCUGGUGUAGCGGUGAAAUGCGCAGAUAUCAGGAGGAGCACCGGUGGCGAAGGCGGUGGUCUGGGCCGGCACUGACGCUGAGGAGCGAAAGCGUGGGGAGCAAACAGGAUUAGAUACCCCGGUAGUCC